rnacentral:rRNA from 1 species
UGCCUUCCAUGCAAGUCGAACGGCAGCGCGGACUUCGGUCUGGCGGCGAGUGGCGAACGGGUGAGUAAUAUAUCGGAACGUGCCUAGUAGCGGGGGAUAACUACUCGAAAGAGUAGCUAAUACCGCAUACGCCCUACGGGGGAAAGGGGGGGAUCGCAAGACCUCUCACUAUUAGAGCGGCCGAUAUCGGAUUAGCUAGUUGGUGGGGUAAAGGCCCACCAAGGCGACGAUCCGUAGCUGGUUUGAGAGGACGACCAGCCACACUGGGACUGAGACACGGCCCAGACUCCUACGGGAGGCAGCAGUGGGGAAUUUUGGACAAUGGGGGAAACCCUGAUCCAGCCAUUCCGCGUGUGCGAUGAAGGCCUUCGGGUUGUAAAGCACUUUUGGCAGGAAAGAAAUCGCACAAAUUAAUACUUUGUGUGGAUGACGGUACCUGCAGAAUAAGCACCGGCUAACUACGUGCCAGCAGCCGCGGUAAU